AAUGGAUUGAAAAGUACAAAGCUGAUCGUGACUCAGGAUUGUGUGCCAUAAUGCAGUAUGCAGUUCUUCAUUAGUGCUUCCGGAUGCAAAGGGAAAAUUAGCUCUCAAAUGCAAAGUAGCAUGGAACAUGCUGUGAUAAUCCGUCAUAUGACUGAAGAUUUUGAUGAAGGAAUUUAUGAAUACCCCAUAAUCAUGUCUGGUCCACAAUGGAAAAAAUUUUGAAGCAACUUCUGUGACUUCGUUCAGACACCUGUUAAGCAAUGCCAAACAUUCCAUCAUUUAUGAUCAGUACCUCAUGGAUAAUGUAAUUUUGCUACUUACUGGUCUUUCUGAUUUACCAGUAAGAGCGUUUCAUCAUACUGCUACACUUGCUGCUAUGAAAUUCAAUUUGGUUGGUUGAAGUGGCUCUGACUGCAUCGAUUCAUCUUGAUAACACGUCUCGUCAGUAUGAAGCAGAGCGGCAGAAAACUCGGGAUGAACGAGCCAGUGAUCGUCUCGAAGCGUUACUUGCCAAACACCAAGAACUUGAAAAAAACAUGGAUGAAAUUUUAAAAAUGUUGGCUUGCACAUUCAAGUCGGUUUUUGUCCAUCGUUACCGAGAUAUUGUUCCCAAUAUUCGAGCCAUUUGUAUGGUGGAAAUUGGCAUUUGGAUGAAGUGGUUCCCCCAAAAUUUCCUCGAUGACUCCUACCUCAAGUAUGUAUGUGGACUUUGAAUGACAAAGUGAAAUUUCGUGAAUGAAACGGCGAGCUUCUGUGACACUUUGUUUCUUCUGCGACUGCGGUGCCACGGACGACAGAUAAUGCCAGGCUUUGGUCCGCCGACCUUCUCAGCCGAAAGAAUACGCUCCCAUGCGUCCUCGAGACCGCCAGGAAAUCCACAGAGUCGGACCUAACGGCAGAGCUAUGGGAUUACGGUCGCCGAAAGCUGCGUCUGCGGCAUUUUUGUCCAGCAGCAACAUCGCACCGUGGAACGCCGUCUGAUUAGCCACCUUAUUUUCUGCUUCCUGUUGGACUGCAACGUCUCCACCGUCCGCUGGCAUGCGCACGCCCUAGUCCCCCCAUUUUGUCGCCAUUCUACCGUGGCCCAGCUGCAAGACCUGGUCGCUCUCAUGUGGUCUCUGUGGUCUGGCCUCCAACUCGACAGCCGAAAACUUCUCAGUUUGUCGAUCUGCUUGGUUAUUUCACCAUAAAAACUCGCGAGGUGGAAAAUUCACUACCCGACCUAGACGUCGACCCACAUCAUUAAGUUGGUUGGGAGCCACCGGAGCCACAACGUCAACCGCUUUGCUCUGCGCAUUACCGAAAUUAAACGAACGAAAAUGGUGCGCAACAUCAACAUUUUCUACAACAACAGACCCAUCCAGGCCGCCGUUGAGCUCAAGAACCGGCCCGGCGUAUGGCUCAAGGCUAAGAAGCUUUCGUUGACACCUGGUCAGGCCGAAGUUAAAGUCGACUUGCCGUUUCCCAUGACUUGUUGCAAUUUGAAAAUCGAAUUUGCCGCCUUCUACGAGAACCUUCACGCCUCGUCGGAGAUGCUGCAGUGCCCGCGCUGUUCCGCCUCCAUCCCUGAUCACCCUGGAGUCUGUUCCAAUUGCGGAGAGAACGUCUACCAGUGCCACAAGUGUCGCUCAAUCAACUACGACGAAAAGGAUCCUUGACCAAACAGUCAAACACCAAGAACUUGAAGAAAAAAUGCAUGGCAUUACAAACAUAUUGGAUGAAGCAGUUUUAAGAAAGAUUAGCUCGCUUUACCAUCAUCACAUGAAGAUUUACUUUCUGAAAUCGGACAUCGUUGAAAUAACGGCAAAGUCAUCAAGGCCAUCAAAGGAUUCCGGCGGACGGAUCAUUGAGGAAAUGCAAGUCUUCCCAGUUUCCGUGCCCGUCACCAACAUGAUGAUCCACCGCGACAAAGUGGGCGGAGGCGUCGACGGAAGCUCGGAAGAGCCGCGAUUGGUUGUCUCCUCUCAGAGUGAAAUCGCCUCGCUCAAACUCCAGCGUUGCUAUAGCGACAAAGUCUCCACCUGCAGCGAUUGCGUCAAGUUACGCGAUCCGUACUGCGCCUGAGACAAGCGGAAGCAGUGUGUGGUCGUCGGGUCGUGGACCCUGGGCUCGAAUUUGUUCCAGAACGUGGCCACUGGAUUUCACGAGUCGUGCCCGGAUUCGACGCACGGAAAAUCCAAGGGAAAAUCGAUGGUCAAGUUGCCGCCCAGUCGGGACAAUAGCGCCGAAUAUAUGGCCUCCUCGUCGUCCUCUUCCGGCGUGGCGGAAGCUUUGGUCUUCAACGCCGAUUUUCCGGCCUCCCCGCCGUCGUCGGCCGGACCUUCCAGGGGCGGCAAAUCCUUCGCCACCCACAGCCACGUCGCUUCCGAUUCGGCCGAAGGCGUGGACAAGGAUGACGGAGCCGUAGGAGGAGAGGGAGACAUGGACGCCGGAAUGGACGAAAGUUUGGAUUUGGACGACAUGGGCGGAGGCGGCGGCAGCUCGGUGCGCAACGACAACGGCCCCUGCAUUUCGCCCGACGAGUCGCAGCCGAAAUACACGGUCGAGACUUUGGUCAUCGCCGUCGCCGCCGGAUCGCCGGCCGCCCUCUUCCUCGGCUUCGUCCUGGGCUACUGCUGCGGACGCAAGUGCCGCAAGAACGAGGAGGACAACAUGCCCUACCCGGACACUGAAUACGAGUACUUUGAGCAGCGGCAAAAUUGCCACAUGCGAAGGUUACAAGAGGAUGCUUCUGCUCAUCAAGAUGCUUCUGCAAAAGGAGGCGAUGUACGCCGAGCCGAUUUUGAUGCCGACGGUCAAUAAGACGAUGACGCUGUGGGCGCCCUCUUCGAUCCCGUCCAACGGACUCUACGCGCUCUACAGCGACCGCGGCAACAAUUACGCCACGGCCACCAACACGACAAUGUCCAACAAUCCGGCCAGGGACCCUUACAGCAGUUUCCGCAGUCGUGACGCUUACGGGGCCGGCUCGAUGAGGAGCCAACAACAACCGCAACACUCCACUGCCUACAAUGGACAACACCAGCUGGUGCGGAAUGGUCGGAGGUGUGGGCGGCCUCCAGCUGCUUGGGCCGCUCAACGGCUCGGCCGCCCUUUACGGUGGAACGCUCCGAUCCAGCAACAAAGCCGGAAAUCUUGGCGACAAUUACGGAACGGCCCGUAGUGUCAAAAAGGUCUACCUCUAAAAACAACCGCGACAAAAGAAUAAUAUUUUUAUUGGGGUAAUGCAGAGGAAACGUCGAGAAGAUGGACACCAAAACGUCGCCGGUAUUUCCAAAAUGUCAACGCGGAUCAUCUUUUGUUGUUGGCAUUAUUUCGUUUGUGUCCGUGUUAGUUAACCCGUUGGCUGCUAC